UACGAAGGGGGCUAGCGUUGCUCGGAAUUACUGGGCGUAAAGGGAGCGUAGGCGGAUAGUUUAGUCAGAGGUGAAAGCCCAGGGCUCAACCUUGGAAUUGCCUUUGAUACUGGCUAUCUUGAGUGUGGGAGAGGUAUGUGGAACUCCGAGUGUAGAGGUGAAAUUCGUAGAUAUUCGGAAGAACACCAGUGGCGAAGGCGACAUACUGGCUCAUUACUGACGCUGAGGCUCGAAAGCGUGGGGAGCAAACAGG
rnacentral:rRNA from 1 species